UACAGAGGAUGCAAGCGUUAUCCGGAAUGAUUGGGCGUAAAGCGUCUGUAGGUGGCUUUUUAAGUCCGCCGUCAAAUCCCAGGGCUCAACUCUGGACAGGCGGUGGAAACUACCAAGCUGGAGUACGGUAGGGGCAGAGGGAAUUUCCGGUGGAGCGGUGAAAUGCGUAGAGAUCAGAAAGAACCCCAACGGCGAAAGCACUCUGCUGGGCCGAAACUGACACUGAGAGACGAAAGCUAGGGGAGCGAAUGGG
rnacentral:rRNA from 1 species